GCGGGCGUGGUGUACGGUGCACAGCCGCCCCCGUUUUCUGACAAAUCCACGACACUUCAGUGGCAGCCCCGGGUUCGAUUCCCGGCGCCCGCU